UGGUAGGAAAAGCAAUCAGGUAUGGGAGGGAUUGCAUGAACUCAACAUUAGCCAGAGAACCCAAAAAAACCAUGUUGACCCCAGGGCCUUGAGCACAUCAGGCAAAUAUCCUAUUACUGAUCUCCACCCCAGCCCUGAUAUUUUUUUUGUUUCCUAUGCUGGCAGAAUGUAAGAAGUCAAAUAGUGGCAGGUGUGGGUGGAACUGGGUGGCUAGAGAAACAGUCGAGGAUUGGGAGGCAUGGGGUAAGUACUGCAGUGUCGUCUUCUCGAUGAAAACAGGCAGUCUUUACGCAGAGCAACCCCACCUUUCCGUAGAUAAAAGGCAUUGCCACACCCAAGUCAUUUGUGAAUUGUUGAUCUGUGCUCCUGGAGAGGUGGGUAGCUGGAAGCCCUCUCCAGCUGUGCACGUGCGAAGGAUGAAUCCCAAAGACUGUGUGACUGAAAGUGUGGGCGGAGCAGCAGUGAUUCAUGAUGCAGUAUAUGUACACAACACACACAUAUGGUCAUAGAUUUAGAAUACUGCCAAACUCGUGUUUUGCAAGAGCACAAGCAACUGUAAUGAGCUUUGGUGUUCCUCUUUUCCUAGAAAAUUUCACAAAUGGAAUUGGCUUAAAGCAGGAAUUUCUUCUCUUAUAGCUCUGGCGUCAGAAACUCAGGUAGAGAUCCAAGACUCCUUCAACGGAAAAGGAAACCAGACCUCAGGCCUCAAAGAACUUUUACAAAGUUUUUUAAAAGAUUGUUGUGAGCUUCCCUCUGGGCGCUGGGGACUCUGCAAGAGCAGCAGGUGCUCUUAAACCUCCGAGCCAUCUCUCCAGUGCCUUCAUUUAGGUUUUUAAAGGAAGAACUGAAUAUGCGUGCUUUUACGCCAUGCUUGAACAAGUGAGUAUCACGGGGGGGGGGGGAUUCGCAGUCUCAACUUGAUGUACGCAGCUGUAACUAGGCUUAGGUUGACACCAUCAUAAAGGAGUUCUAAAGAUUCUGUGGAAGAACAAGCUGUCAAGUGCAGCCGUUGGGUUCACAGUGCCUUUGAAGAGAACUCCAAGCCAAAUGUUAUGAGAAUGUUGGAUUUUGAAAGGUACUUUUUAAACCAUUCAUUGAGUGAGCAUAGAUUGAAUACUUACUAUGUGCCACAGUGGUGACAAUAAUGGGUGCCUCUCCUGAGUUUUGCAAAGUACCAGCAGAUAAUCACAUGGAUAAACAUUUUCAAGCCCUAUGUUGUGCUUGGAAGGAAAAAUGAAGUGGCAUGAAAGAGAAUGUUAUCGGGAUGAGGAGCUUUCCUGGGAUCACUGGGACUCAGGGGACCAUGAAGAGGAGGGCAAAUGGAAGUGGAGGUAGGGGGAAGAUAGUGUUGGCGGCGUAGGGAGGUGUGGAAUGCUUCCUGUAUGUCAAGGCACCCCCGUGGAGGCAGAUGUGAUUUCCUGUGAUAUGGCCAUGGUGCUUGUGGAGUCUGGGAGUUCACCUAGGUUUCAUGUUUCCACCGAGUGGCCUUCUCUCACUGACGGCUUCUGCAGAGAAUGCCUUUUCUUACAGGUUUCUGAACUUCUCUUAGCCAAGUACAUGACAGAAAGGUAUAGUUUCUCACUCUCCUUGGACAAAUGUUUGGAAACAUGAUGGGAGGAACCACAGAGAUAAAUGGACCAUUUCUAAACGGACAGAUACCGAGAUGAAUUUCUGCUUGUCUCCCGAGAUUUCCAAAUUGCCAGCUAGUGCUGAGAAACGGUGUCUCUGCCUGAUUGCUUCGUAUCAAUGAACAAAGGAUAUAUGUCCCUGGGACAUGCCAGAUUCCAACUCUUUGAUAAAGUGUACGAGAGUAACUUCAGAGGGUUUGCCUACUGAAGGGUGUGAUUUAUUGGAAGAAGGCCAGGAACCGUGAAUGCUCAGCCAUACUCUGGAAGGCGCCGCCAUCAGUGCUCACAGGAAAAUGCAAUGCUUUCUGAUCGUUACAAAGAGAUCUUAAUCAGCAAAGAAAUAUACUUUAUCAGAACAGUUAUAACUCCUGAAUCCCCUGGGGGCUUCCACAGUGAGAUGCCCAUGCAGGGGGUUUUGGAUGGAGGUGUGGUUGAGAACAGUCAUCAUUUUUUUUCCCUUCUCCUCUGUGAAUUCCACCUGGGGCUAAAAUAGAGCCUGCCUCAGUAUUGUGGCAUAGCGUCUACAUCUCAGAAGUAGAGGGAUAUCUGCUUCUAGGUCGGGGAGAGACUUGCUUCUGUUUCAUUGUGUAAGGAAACAGCUUGCCUGGGGACUGAGAGAAACCUCAGAGGGCAUUUGUCUCCCUGUGCUGACGUGCUCAUCUCGUUCUGUGAUCGCCACAGGUGAGGAGAUUUGAAAAAGCAGAGCUUUCGUUUUCGUCGUUGGCAGGGUGCCUGAUUUUGGUCACAAAAUGUGAUCUGAACACUGUGCAUUGUAAUGGACCAUACACAAGACUGUGUGGAUACAGGAAGAGAAACUCCUCCCACCCGUGAAAUGGGGAAAAUUUAAUUGCUGCCUCUGACAACACACUCCUUUCUUACUCAUGGGCUGAAGCAUGGCUGCCUACUCUGAUAGAAAAUGUCUGUGAAUUCAUCAUUGCUGAGAUUAAGGGAACAGGGGUGUGUGAACGUUCAUUUUUCAUGGUAUUGUUUCAUCAAACAGCUCCCAACCCCCCCAUGCAAGUUCAAGCCAACCUGGUCCUGCCAACCCAAACCUCCCCUCCAAGCAUAUUUUUGCAGGCAGAAAUGGAAACAUGUACUCUGAGUCAAUAUGGCUUUAAAUCUUCACUGAAGAAUUCCUUAGCAAAAGUCCUGGUUUAUUUACACUUAAAGUCUAUAUCCCACGUUUUCACCAAACAGCGUAUGAUGACAUUCAUUAAAUAUGAAAAACUCUUAAUCUUCUCUUCUCUUUGUGGAUGACUUGGUUCUCCUUGUGUCUGGAUGCAAUGGGUAUUGUUUGAUUUCAAGUGACUCCCUGAAACCUGCCUGCAGUUUCAGGUCUGAAUGCCCGUGGUGGGCAGAAUGGGUGUGCCCCUGAGAUAGAACCCUUGUUGUUAUUUCUUUUUCUGGACUUCCACUUUGUAGAGCUGAAGUGGACGCUUAAAAGAAAUCUCACAAUAGCUCAGAAUUGAGUAUGACAGAGGGUUAUUUAUUUAGGGGUAGACUCACAGAUCACAGUCCUGUGCUCAAACAGGAACAGCAACUGAAACCCGCAGCCGGAAGAGAGGCCAGAUGUGCGUUUUACACAGGCAUUUAUAGUAUAAGAGGCCACACCCAAGUGGGCAGGUAAUUUAAAGGCUACUGGAAGUAGGAAUUCCUACAGCAUAGAGCCAAGCAUGGGCCUUUCUUGGAGGAUUGCCCUCAGGCUUCUUGAGUUCUCCCUGUGCUGAACACCCAACUCCCACCUUGCCAGCCACUGGACCUUAGCUCCCUUGCUUGAAGUUUCUCAGCUGCACUUGGAAACACUUGCCUGUUAUCACUUUCUUUCUAAAUGCAGCAGCACUGCUGGGCUUAAAGUGAACAGAGGGAACCAAAUACUUCAGAUAUUAGAGGGAAAAGUGUGGUCUACGUAUGAGCCUAACAACCUUUGAGGAGCUCCUUUGUAUCACACCUGUUAUAAUCUGCUGGCCUGGUCUGUCACCUGGGUACCCUGUCCCUUUAAGAGACAAGCUCUGUCCACUCCAAACCUCCCUCCUCCACUGAGUCUCCCACCUGCCAAGGGGAUUCCUGGAAGCCUCAGGUGACCCGCUGCUGCCCCUCAUGGGAUCGUUGACCCUCGAGGGACCUGUCCCCCACCACCUGUUUAUAAAUGAUAACAUCGGUGCAUGACUUGUCCAGGCUCUCUCCAUGUUCCCUUCUGCCAGUGGGUGAGCCAGCUGAGGACACAUGGGGACCCUGGAAUUGGACCACUUUCCAACAUUCUGUGUGUAAUUAUUCAGCCACAGAUAAGGCUGUACUUCCGGGCACGCACAUGCAGGCAGACCCUUGGGAACAAAGGGCCCUGUAUGGCCCACAUGAGCGCAUGUGUGGUGACCUCCACGUGUGACUCAACUAAAACCCUUGAGUGCAUGCGUGGGUCGCCCGUCUUCUGUGUCAUCAGCGUGUGAUGUAGUCAUGCCAAGCCCCUGGGCGCAUGUGCUAGGCAGCUUUUAAAAGUUGGACGCGUCAUUUGCUCCUUCUCUCUGCACACUGUUUCCCAGGCCUGUCCGCACCUCCC